rnacentral:tRNA from 1 species
GGAGAGGUGGCCGAGAGGCCGAAGGCGCUCCCCUGCUAAGGGAGUAUAUCCUCAAAAAGGGUAUCGAGGGUUCGAAUCCCUCCCUCUCCG